UUUUUUUUGGAUGCAUGAAAAGUGGAACUCCUUAUCUGACCUCCCUCCACUUCAAUGACUUAAGGAAAGUGGAGCUGAAGUCUGAGCAAGACCAAACUUUUUGUUUAAUCCAAAAAUAUCUUCCCUGGUUUAUCCAGGAAAAGGCUGUUCCUCGCAGAUCCUUUAUUUUUUUAAUGAAAGGCAGUCCUUGCUGUGGUGACAUGGCAAGAAGGUACUGGAGAUAUUUGAUCCAAACCUUUUCUUUUUUUCUUUUUUUGCUGGUAAUAACUGCCCUGAUAUGAAAUGUGUAUCAGCACCGCAGGUUCUCAGUGUCUUCCCUCUGAAAUAAUGUCCAGCCAGGCAUGAACAGGAUAGUGGUGAAGACAGUUUUCUGUUAAACACUUCUCUGUUGGAAAAUACAGUAUAUAUUCUAAUAAAACACAAUGCAGGAAUGUGUUAGAUUUAAUCAACUGUGGACAGAAAAAUGUUAAAUACAAAUUUUUCAUUUUUUAUCUGUUCAUUUUGAUGUUGAAAUGCUUCACUUGAACUUCUUUCAGUUUAGUAUUGACUUUGUGCUUCUUCUUGUUUUAAUGUUAACUAUGGGAUGUUACACUGAAGAAUUCAUACGAUAAGAAAACAGGAUUAUCUAUAUAUACCUUUGACAUUACUAGAAAGAAAUUACCUGGUAGUUUGCAAUUAGACUACUUUGUAGGGUUGUUCCCCCCUUCCUCCCCCCGGGUCUUUGGUUUAUCUUUAAAUACUAUAUUCCUGGGAGAGAGAAUUACAGUUUCUGAUGCCUUCUGGAUAGCUGCACCCACACAGGGAAGCUGAAUUGUUUUAAGGGCAACAAAAUGCCUCAACUUCUUCAGAUCCAAAGGAGCUUCCAAAUCUGUCAACUGCAGAGCGAAAAGCUUUCCUUGAUAGCAGCAGUCGUGUUAUUACAGCAAGGUUGUUUGCCUUGCCAGAAGAUUUCAUAAUGCCCAUCCGCAGAGGCACGUCUCCGACACGUGCGAUGGUUCUGCUGAUCGUAUAUCAAGUGACCCUUAUAAUUGAUGAGCACCAACUGGCAGUGAAGUUUCAGCAUUAAAGUUUAACAUCUCUCAUUUAGGGUCUUAAUUGUGCUUUGAAAUACUUGAUGGCUUGGCUGACCUUUUUCUGGGUGAGUUGAGAAUGAGAUCUGUCUGCCAGAGGAGAAGCCAGUGACGAAGCCUUGGAGCACAGCACUUCACUGCUUUCGGCGAGAUACCUUGGCUUUGUACCUCCCGUUUAGAAACGUGUCCAAGCUUUCUGUUUUCCUAUCCUAUGGAUUCUUUGGCGUAACAACAAGUUGUCUGGGGAGUGAGACUGGGGCGAAUAACCUGUGCACAGGGAAGCUGUCUUGAACCGCAGCUUUCUCAGACCAGCAAAAAUGAGCCUUUGCUUAGGUUUGACUCAAGAAGGCUUAUGUCCAGGUGACAAACAGUAGGCAUAUGAUGAAUACAGUUGUUGCAUGUGCAAUCUUUUCCCUGACCCUAUGAACUCUCUGAUUUUCAUGCCUGUCUCGUGGCUCGGUGGUGACACUUGUUCUGCCUGUCCUUGUGGAGCUCUGCGCCAGUGCCGCGUCCCAAGUCACCCGCAGAGGAUACGGCCGCGACCGCAGUGCGGUUAGUCUGCGAUGUCAGAAAUCUGGCCUGGCCCUGUUUGCACAGGAGGAGAGCAGCCACGUCAAACACGGGAGCGUGUAGCACCGCAGCAGGUUAGAGGUAAUGCUGCAAAAAACCUCUGUCCUGAGCAGAAACACCUUUUGACUUCUUCACUUGUGAUUCAUUUUUCAUCGAGAAUGAGCCUGGGAGGACCUGGUUUCUUAGCAAAACCCUGCCAGUUAUUUUUCCUGCGCUGACAGGACUCAUUUCUCCACUCGUUGGUGAUGCUCCAUGGAGACCACGGCUUAAACCUACUGCGGCUGGAGCUGCUGUGCAGAAGUGCGCAGAGCAGCCCGGAUCAGCAAAGGCUUGCUGAAGGAGAAAAAGAAAUGCAUGUGGAGUCGGAGGUCACGAGUCAGCAACCAGGCACCGAAAACCAGAACCUGAGGCUCAAGGUUUUCGGUCAGGAAGAUGCCAAACUGAGCUGCAGAUACGGCUGUAUGUUUUAUUUUCAAUAGCAAUUUGCACCCUUAUUUUGGUGAAAGUGUAUGAAUUUUCCAGGGAGGUAUUUGCCUGAAAAGUUCUUUUAACGUUGAGAAACUGCUUAUACAGAGAAGAGCAGACGACCUGCAAGACUGGAGCCUGGUCAACGUCUUUGCUUGCUAGGGAUGAAAGGAUUUGGUCUGCAACGAGCACAAACUGAAAAACGCCCGUUUGCUACGGAAGGCGAUAUGCUUGAGCCAAAUUAACGUGAACGAGCUGAAGGGAACGAGCCCAGGCAGAAGUGUGGAUGGCAAGGUCAAAGCAAGGAGAACGCGUCGCGGGAGCAGUCGAGGCGGCGGCAAGUCGAUGGCUUCGGUGACGUGAUGCUGCGUUUAUGCAGGCAGGCCGGUGCCACACGCUACACGCUGCUGCAUCCCACGUGUUUCUGAAUUAGUGCUGAGCAAAGGCCUCGGCAUCGCCUCCAACCGCCUGCUGGGACAAGCCUCUUUCUCCUGAGCCUGGGCCACGCUGCUACACCAAACUCGGUAUAAAAAGACUGCUGCUGAUUCAAAGGGACUCCUGGGCAUUAGCAACUUAAAAAUGGACAGGUUAAAAUGCACCACCUUGUGCACACCUGCCCACAUACCUGCGCUGCGGAAGAAACAUUGCGUGUCUCAUUUUCAAAUGCAAAAUGAUUGCAAACUACUUUUUCGUUAUUUGCUUCCCUUUAUUUCCCUGCAACUAAGCACUUCUAGCAGUUGCAAAAUGUUGGACCCGAUCGCAUGUCGUAGCGGGCUGCCUUCACCUUCAUCCGACAUUGUAGGACAGGAUAAUCCACACCAGGUUAGUAGUGCUCAAGGAUAAUCUCCUUUCUUCAGUGAAAGUGAACUUAUAGGUAGAAAUGGCGUCUCAGGUUGGGAAAACAGCAGUUUGGGUACUUCACCUUUCACAAGGUCAGACAACGAGGAGAUGAUGAUUUCUGUGACUGCUGCUACCCAGCCACCACGUCAUUUUAAAUUCCUGCUAUAUGUGACAAGAAGGUUAGGAGCGGGAGGGGAAGCCAAAGCGUCGAGCGAGCGGCUCCGCGCGUUGCAGCCGCUGCGGGGGUGCGGAAGGACAGACCUCUCCGAGCAGACUGCGGCCGGCCUCCUGCACCCCCUUGGCCUAAACCAGGUCCUUUGCAUUCAAGGAAACAGCAUCCUCGCCCACGGAGACAACUGCGGUGAAGUAUCUCCUUGAUUUGUCCAACAAGCGAAGGACUAAAGGGCCCGGGAAUGACUGGAGCGUGGGAGCCCCAGGAGUCACCCAGAGCGGGGGCCACCCUUCCUGGCGUGCUUGCUGCACGGAGCAAAAUGAAUGACCAAAGCAUGGUGCCUUUUUUCCUUUUCUUGGAUUCUCUUGGGUUAAAGUUUUGAGGGGGUAACGAUUGUCUCUGGGCCUGACUUGUGCUUCUGCGCUGGAUAAUCCAUGGCAAGCAAAGUGCUCUGCUUCUUCCUCGCUCCCAUCUCCCUCCAAAAGCAGGAGACGUGUGACGGGAAAACAAACGUGCUGCAGCCCAAAGUUAUCUAAGCUUACUUACUUGCUGAGCCAGUGAAACUUGUGGCAUCAGCUGAGAUCACCUUUUAACGAGGUGGCUCUGGAAAGCCUUGCUGCUCACCUGAGCCCUGGGAAGUCAUCAGGAAAACGAGGACUUCCGUGCCUGGUGAGGAGCAGAAAGCUGCCCCGCACGAAGCCCCUGCCGGCAGUGACUUUCACGGCGGUGAGCUUGCCGACAGGAGCGGUUUCUUUUACCCGUGAUCUGACACUGAGAUGGCAGGAUGGCUCAGCUAUUCUGGCAUUUAAUAACUCCAGGAAAUACUUAAGGAGAAAGCGAUCCACUUGCUCUUGGGAUAAUUGCAUAGGUUUGCUCAAAAAAAAGUAUUCCUCCCCCAACACGAUGGAGUGAAUCUGUCUUCAGCGAUGCUAAGCUGGCGUUUCGGUGAGACUGGGGUGCUGCAGGACCGUGCGUUCAACGCUGGGUGACUUUUUUUCCCCCAGGGUCGUCCAAACGCACAUGGAAAGAUGGGGCGCACGACCUGCUCCACGCGCUCUGGGUGACGCCAACCUGCUGCGGAGCCGUCGCUGGGGCUUUGCGAAGCACGGCGCUGAACAGGGGCGACCGCACGAGAUGCCUCUGCGAGUCUGAGCCCGCGAAGAGAGCAUGGGUUAGUUUAAUGGGUCCUUAUUUUUGCUGAAAUCCACCUGGGUUAGGCACCUAGUCAGCUAUGGGUUUACUGUGACUAAUGCACUUCCGCAACAUCUCUCUUUAUCAAUAGAGACAACUGUGUUUACAGGGCAAAAUUUUUCACCUGCUUGUCAGCUUGUCAAGCAAGAAACAAGACACGCUGUCGUCUCUCAAAUCCCACAGCCAAUCAUCCAUUUGUUUAAGCAUCACCUUUUGUCAGCAAAGUUAUUUAAAAUCGGUUGACACUGAAUCAAGCGCCGCUUUUGCAUCCUACAGAGAGAUGAUACGUUCAGGGUGUCUGAGCAGAGCGAGGUGCUACCGGUCUGAGGGAAACACUUAGCAGGUUUUCCUGAGGUUACUGCAGGUACAUUUUGUUUAAAAAGUGCUCUCUGACUAUUAACAAAUUGGCAUAAUGUUGAUGACAGUGCUUUUCCACGUAGCGGGAAGCAUAAUCUACUUGAGGUCUUGCAGCAGAGCAGAAGACAGCCUUUAAAUUUACCCGUUUUACCCUCAGUGGCAGCAGAGAUUCCCAGAGACACUGCAAACCUCACGUUUCAAUUUUUUUAUGUGAGGUUUAUUAGCAAAGAAGAAGAAAAUUUGAUCAACAGAUCCACAGAAGGCCAAAAGCAAGCUGGCAGAUAAGGCACCAGGGCUAAGACAGGCAGACGGAUCGCCACAGUUCACGUAUGUAAAAUCCGUGCGUGGUGUGGUGGGCUUCAGCUUUGCUGGAGCUAUCAGCAUUUUAGUUGUAUUUCUCCAAACCACAUAAAUAUUUCCAUCCAUUGGAAAAGGAGGAUAUUUCAUUUUUCAUAAAAUCUCUACUGUGAUGCUGUUAUUAAAAAAGGAGGAAAAAGAAAUAUCGGCAAGUCAAAGUAGUCGCAGCCGCACAGUCAUUUUCAAUAAUCCAUUGAGUCGCUGCAUCUGAACAGCCUUUCAUUUCUCCCUGUGGUUCAGACUAAAUUGUUUAUUAGAAUUUUUGUGCACUAUUAAAAAAAAAACAAAAGGAAAUUGUAGUCCUUUAUUUUAAAGAUUGCUGCAAUAAAAAUUUAGAUUAUUCAAAUUUA